UACCAGCACCCCGAGUGGUCGGGACGAUUAUUGGGCCUAAAGCAUCCGUAGCCGGUUCUACAAGUCUUCCGUUAAAUCCACCUGCUUAACAGAUGGGCUGCGGAGGAUACUAUGGAGCUAGGAGGCGGGAGAGGCAAGCGGUACUUAGUGGUUAGGGGUAAAAUCCGUUGAUCCAUUGAAGACCACCAGUGGCGAAGGCGGCUUGCCAGAACGCACUCGACGGUGAGGGAUGAAAGCUGGGGGAGCAAACCGG
rnacentral:rRNA from 1 species